rnacentral:lncRNA from 1 species
UGUUCAAUUAAGCAACUGUUGGAAUCAUUUUUAUAUGAAUGCAAUACUAUUUUGGUAUGUAUGAUGGUAUGGCGCUGUUGUCUUCAUCUAUAGUCACUUGGUUUUCAUGUCAAAACGUUGAAGGAGUCGAUUUGUUUGUAUUAAAUUUUAACACAAGGAUUAUUACCACUAACGGGUCAAAAGUUGUAAAAAUGCAUUCUUAUAAAACUUAAUUUAAAUUGCCAUUUUCUUUACCAAUUUUAAUGUGUUUUCAAAGUAUUCAGUAUAGUCUAAGAUCUCAAAGUGUGAAUUGUUUUCUAUUAUUAUGAUGUUAUAGAAAGGACCAAAGACGGGUUAAAUUUUUUAUGCCAUGCCGAUAGGCGUAUGGGGGCAUUAUACAUGUAUUACCCUUGAUCUUCCGUUUUACCGUCUGUCCUUCCAUCUUUCCAUUUUAUUUUGCUGCACUCUAAUUUAACUUUGCCUCUUCUUAAUUUGAUAAAGCUCAUACACAAAGGUAAAAAACUAUAAAACGCAAAAAGUCACCUGCUGUACUACAGUUCUGCUCCUUUAUAACUAGGAAAAUUUCAUUUCUUUUUGUUUGUUUUUGCACUCUCACCUAAUCCCCAAAUGCUGAAAAUAUAGACGCAAAACAAGAAAUGCAGAGUAAAUCAGACAAAUCAUAAUUUAGAACUGCAGCACGUCAUAUCAUAUUUGAUAUUCACACCUUUUUAAAGCUUUUCAAUACGUAUACAUUUUAUUUUUACGGCGUCGGCGUUGGCUUCGCAAUGUUUUAGUUUGUGAUUAGGUCUAGUAUGUUUUAUGCAGUUGUAUAAGUAUUGGAACAUCUCAUUUCCAUAGAUAAUAUUUGGCCUUGUCCCCUCAGUAAUUGUCUAUUGACUUUGAAAAUUUAUUGGCAUUUGCAAGUCAUAUUUCUAUGGAGGUUAUAAAGCCCACCCCCUCAUCAUGGUUCACUGACAUUGAAACUUUUACAUAGUUUACAAGUUUAUGUUUGUUUAAAGGGAACGACUUAUGAUAAGUCCAUGGUAUUUUGUAUGUAGUUGUAUAUUGGCACAUUUCCAUGGAUAUUGUUCAGCCAUGUACUUUCAGUCGUGGUUCAUCAACUUUGAAUAUUUCCAUAACUUACAUGUUAAAGUAUUGCUAUUUUGGUUUCAACAUUUGCA